rnacentral:lncRNA from 1 species
GGGUCUCGUGCAGUGGCACAAUCUUGGCUCACUGUAACCUCUGCCUCCUGGAGUCAAGCGAUUGUCUGACUUCAGCCUCCCAGGUAGCUGGGACCACAGGUGCAUACCAUCACACCUAGCAAAUUUUUUUGUACUUUUUAUAGAGAUGGAUUUUCACCAUGUUGCCCAAUCUGGUCUCAAACUCCUGGGCUCAAGCAUCUGCCCACCUUGGCCUCCCAAAGUGCUGAGACCAUAGUGUGAGCCACCUCGCCUGGCCUCCCCCCCUCUUUUUUUUUUUUUUUUUAACUGCUUAUUCCACAUUCUGGAUUUGGUUGAUUACUUUAUUAUAGUGCCAUCUAACUUGCUUGGCUAUCUGUGGAUUUCCUGUGAACUGGUUGUUUAUUCUAGAGACUUGAUUAGAUUUUGGUUCAUUUCAGGGGCAAGAAUACUUCAUAAGUAUUCUUCCUAUCCUAACACAGAAGUUCGGUUGUCACACUUAGACAUUUUUAAAAAAAUUUUUAUUGUGGCAAAGUAUAUAUAAUAUAAAAUUUACAAGUUUAUUCUUAAGUGUACAAUUCAGUGGCAUUAAGUACAUUCACCGUGUUUUACAACCAUCACCACUGUCCAGUUCCACAAUUUUUUCAUCAUCCCCAACAGAAACUUUGUAUCCAUUAGCAAUAACUGCCCAUUCUCUUCUCCCCCACCCCUCAUUAGCCUUUAUUCUAUCCUCUGUCUAUGAAUUUGCCUAUUCAGUGGAAUUGUAUAUUAGUCUUUGGAAGUUUAGCUGCCUGGCCUCUUUCACUUAGUACAAUGUUUUCAAGGUUCAUCUAUGCUGUAGUAUGUAUCAGAACUUAAUUCCUUUUAUGGCUGAAUGAUAUUCUAUUUUAUGGAUAUACCACAUUUUGUUUAUCCAUUCAUCUAUCGAUGGACUCUUGAGUUGCUUCUGCUUUUUGUCUAUUAUGAAUAGUGUUGCUAUGAAGAUUCAUGUCCAAGUAUCUGUUUGAGUCCCUGCUUUGAGUUCUUUGGGUAUAUGCCUAGAAGUGGAAUUGCUGGGUAACUAUGUUUUCUUUUCUUUUUUUUUUUUUUUUUGAGACGGAGUCUCCCUCUAUUGGCCAGGCUGGAGUGCAGUGGUGCAGUCUCGGCUCACUGCAACCCCAGCCUCCUGGGUUCAAGUGAUUCUCCUGCCUUAGCCUCCCGAGUAGCUGGGACUAUAGGCGUGAGCCACCACGUCCGGCUAGUUUUUUUGUAUUUUUAGUAGAGACAGGGUUUCACCAUAUUGACCAGGCCAGUCUCGAACUCCUGACCUUGUGGUCCACCCGCCUCGGCCUCCCAAGGUGCUGGGAUUACAGGCAUGAGCCACUGCACCCGGCCUCAUUUUUUUUUAUUGUGGUAAAAUACACAUAACUUAAAAUUUAGCAUCUUAACAAUUUGUUUUGUUUUGUUUUGUGGUAGUGAUGUUUUUGUGAGAUGAGGUCUCUAUAUGUUACUCAGACUGGUCUCGAACUCAUGGGCUCAAGUGGUUCUCCUACCUCAGCCUCCUGCAUAACUGGGACUACAGGUGUGCAACACUGCACCCAGCUCUAUCUUAAACAUUUUUAAGUGUAUAGUCAGUCAUAAUAUUCUGCAACCAUCACCACCAUUCAUUUCUGUAACUAUUUUCAUCUUGUAAAACCAAAACUUUGUGCCCAUAAACUAUAACUUCUGUUCUUCCCCCACCCUCUCCCCUUCCUCCCUGGCAGCCACCAGGUUGUCACAUUUUUAAUGAUGCCAAAUGGUUUCAGAUGGUAUCAGCCUAAUUCCCCUGAAUUAAAAUUCUCCAUCAACUUUUCACCUAAUCGUUUUAGCAUCCAUUGAAAACUGUUGCCUAGACCCAUUAUUUUAUUAGAAGUCACAAAAUGGUGAUUUCUCCCCCCUCCUAAAUCUUGUUAUUCCUCUGCAUUUAUUAGCUAAAAUCCUUCUAAACAAAGAAUUCCCUCAUCAAAUAUUUGGUUUCCCUGAAAUAUAGUUUGUAGAAGAGAGGCUGGAAAAAUGCUUUAUUCUUUUCCUUCAUGGAUUUUCAGAAAAACCACUGGAUGCCCCGCAACUUCCAUGGUGACUCUUAGAUGUUUGUAUCUUCGUGUUUUGAUCUGCAGAUUAUGUAUUUUUUUGAUACUCAGAGUGUCCAUUUAUCUUGGACUGGCACUUGACAAAUUGGCAAACUCUUGCAGUUUCUUAACUGUAAUAAAACUAGAACACAUGGGUUUGAACCACAGCUCUGUGGUGAAACCUUGAGAGAGUUAGGUAAUCUCGUCUGUCUCAAUUUCCUCAUCUUAAAAUGGAGAUAAUACUUACUGCCUGCAUCACUGGGCUUAAAUUACUUAUGUAAAAUGCUUCAUUUCGUGGCUGGAUGACAGUAGGCACUCAAAAGCCCAAAUUGUUUGAGGUUUCACUUCAUCAUUUCUCUGGCAGAAUUCUUUUUUCUUACCCUACUGGGAGUUUCCACAUUCAAAUACCAAGAUGAAAUAAAUACCUUUAUUUCUUCAAUCUUCUCUUCAUAACAAGCCUAAUUUUACUGAGUUUUGGUAGCUAUUGUUUUUGAUGGUAGGGAGCUGGCUGUACUCUAGGACCUUGGGGUGGGAAAUUUGGACUUUUCAUAAAAUAGCAGUUGGGAGCUGCUGGAAGAAUGGACGUGCCGUGAGUGGUCUUGGAUGCAGCCCCUAUUUUUUCUGCCAGUUUCUAAAGAUCAGGCUGUCUUUUAGUUCAAAUUUUUUUCAUCAGUAUGUUGAGUAUGACAGAACUUAAUGCUUUUAGCUCUCUAUUAAGACAUUUAACUGUGUAGGUUUCACUUGUAUAGAUUGGAAUUUGAACAGUUUCUGAUUUCUUUUUUAUUUUUUUGAGACGGAGUCUCGCUUUGUCGCCAGGCUGGAGUGCAGUGGCACAAUCUCGGCUCGCUGCAACCUCCACCUCCCAGGUUCAAGCGAUUCUCCUGCUUCAGCCGCCCAAGUAGCUGGGACUACAGGUGCGCGCCAUGCCCAGCUAAUUUUUGUAUUUUUAGUAGAGAUGGGGUUUUACCAUGUUGGCCAGGAUGGUCUUGGAUCUCUUGACCUUGUGAUCCGCCCGCCUUGGCCUCCCAAAGUGCUGGGAUUAUAGGCGUGUAUCACCGCGUUUUUUGUUGUUGUUGUUGUUUUUUGAGGCGGAGUCUUGCUGUCACCCAGGCUGGAGUGAAGUGGUGUGAUCUCGGCUCACUGCAACCUCCACCUCCUGGGUCAAGCAAUUCUCCUGCCUCAGCCUCCCGAGUAGCUGGGAUUACAGGUGCCCGUCACCAUGCCUGGCUAAUUUGUUUAUAUUUUCAGUAGAGAUGGGGUUUCACCACGUUUGCCAGGCUAGUCUUAAACUCCUGACCUCAAGUGAUCCACCCGCCUCGGCCUCCCAAAGUGCUGGGAUUACAGGCAUGAGCCACCAUGUCUGGCCAAAUAAUGGUUUUUAAUAUAAUGAUUAUUACCAGAAAUAAAGGUUAUUUCAGAAUGAUAAAGGGGUCAAAUAAUCAAGAGGACAAAACUGUAAAUGUUUCUGCAUCUAAUAACAGUGCCUCAAAAUACAGGAAGCAUAAACAGACAGAAUUUUAAGGAGAAAGAGAACAAACCCAUAACAAUCAUUGCAGACUUCAACACUCCUUUCUCAGUAAUCACUAGAACAAGCAGACAGGAAAUCAGCAAGGAUAGGGAAGACCUUAACACGAUCAACCAACUUGACCUAAUUAUUAUUUAUGAAACACUUUACCUAACGGCAGCAGAACACAUCUUUCCUAUUACAAACUGAACAUUGACCUAAACAAACAAUGUUUCAGGCCAUAUACAAACCUCUACAUUUUUUUUUAAUUCAUCAUAACGAGUAUGUUCCCUAACCAUAAUGGAAUUAAAUUAGAAACCAACAACAAAGAUGUCUGGGAAAUCCCUAAAUGUUUGAAAAUUAAACAAUACGUUUUAAAACAAAUCAUGGGUCAAAGAGUAAGUCAUAGUAGAAAUUUUACAAUAUUGUGAACCAAAUGAAAAUGAAAAUAAAACAUGUAUCACAAAUUCUAAGAUAUGUUUUUAAAAGUGCACAAAGGGGCUGGGCGCAGUGGCUCAUGCCUGUAGUCCCAUCACUUUGGGAGGCCAAGGCAGACGAAUCACCUGAGGUCAGGAGUUCGAGACCAGCCUGGCCAACAUGGUGAAACCUCAUCUCUACUAAAAAUACAAAAAUUAGCUGGGCGUGGUGGUGGGUGCCUGUAAUCCCAGCUACUUGGGAGGCUGAGGCACGAGAAUAAUUUCAACCUGGGAGGUGGAGGCUUCAGUGAGCCAAGAUCGCACCACUGCACUCCAGCCUGGGCAACAGAGCAAGAUUUUGUCUCUAAAAACAAAAACAAAAACAAAAAAACGCAUAAAGGAGCACAGUGGUUUAGCCUGGAAUCCCAGCACUUUGGGAGGCCAAGGCAGGAGGAUUGCUUGAGCAAAAAAAUUCAAGACCAGCCUGGGCAGUAUAGUGAGAACUCAUCUCUAUUUAAAAAGAAAGAAAGAAAAAUCAAAGAAAAUGAGGUAUACAUGCACAAGAGGAUAUUAUUCAGCCAUUUAAAAAGUGAAGUCAUCUAUAAAGCUUAAGGUUUGGAAAAUAAAAUCUGUUUGCAGCAACAUGGAUAGAACUGGAGGACAUUAUGUUAAGUGAAAUAGGCCAAGGGCAGAAAGACAAGUAUCACAUAUUCUCAUUCAUAUAUGAGAGAUUAAGAAGUUGAUUUCAUGGAGAUAGGCAGUAGAAUGAUGGUUACCGGGGGCUGGGAAGCAGGUAGGGAUGAAGACAAGUUGAUUCAUGGGCAUAAAAACUCAGCAAGAUAGAAGGAAUACGUUUCAGUUUUUAUUUGCACAGUAGGGUGACUAGAGUCAACAAUAACUUAGUGUAUAUUUUAAAAUAGCUAGAACAUUUGUUAUCUUCCCAAUACAAAAAAAAGGAUAAACAUCUGAGAUGAUGGAUACCCUAAUUAACCUGAUUUGAUCAUUACACACUGUAUCAAUCUAUCAAAAUAUUACAUGUACCCUUAUAAAUAUGUACACUCUACCUUAAGGAAACAGUGAAAAAAGAAGGUGUGGAACAACGACCACAACAAAAUCAAAGAGGAAAAUCUUUGUGAACUUGGGUUUGUCAGGCCAGGAAUCAGCAAACCAUGGCCAAUCCACUACCUGUUUUUCUAAUAAUCGAAACAAUAUAAUUGAUAAUUUGUAAAUUAUGUGAAAUUCAAACUGCAGUGUUCAUAAAGUUUUAUUGGAACAGCCAUUAUCAUUCAUUUACAUAUUGUCUAUGACUGCUUUCAUUGCUACAAUGGCAGAGCUGCAACAGGGACAGCAAGGCUGAAAUAUUUACUAUCUGACCUUUUACAGAAAAAGUCUGGCAAGGUCUGGGUUAGGUAGAGCUGUUAGAUGAACACCAAAUGUGUAAAAGAAAAAAUGUGGUUAAUCAGACUUCAUCAAAAUUUAAAACUUAUGCUCUGGGAAAAAGACACCGCUAAGACAAUGAAACACAAGGCACAGAUGGGGAAAAUGUAUGAACAUCACACAGCCUAACAAAGCACUUAUAUCCAAAAUAUAUAAAGAACUCUUACUACCCAACAGUAAGAAAUUGGCCAGGCAUGGUGGCUCAUGCCUGUAAUCCCAGCACUUUGGGAGGCCAAGGCAGGCAGAUCACCUGAGGUCAGGAGUUCGAGACCAGCCUAGCCAACAUGGUGAAACCCCGUCUCUACUAAAAAU